CUCAUCUCAUGGAAGUUUACGAAGAAUAAAAAUUUGUACCAAACGCAAGAGUGACAUGCGAGAAAAAUAUUUCAAACAGGCCCCUGGUAGAAACGUAAAGAACUGAUUCGCUAUCGGUUGGCCAAAUCCGAACGACUUGGCCAACGGUUUAACCAACAGUUACCCUUAAAUACUGCUUAUUUCGUCACAUUACAAGCGGUUCGGUUGGUAAACAGAUGGUUAAAUUUGAAAUACUCGUUUGAGGUUAAAUUCGAUUUAGGAAACCUACGUAGCGCGCUCCAUGACUUUCGAUGUGUAGAUGUAAGUUCUUCUUGAAGCUGACGAACACGUUACCCGGGACUCUCGCUGACGAUGGCUAGGUGUCCAGCGUGGAAAGAAAAUGAAAUCUAGUUGGCGCGCUCCGUGGCUUUCGAUAUGCAGAUGUAAGUUCUGUUUGAAAAUGAUGAGCACGUCACUCGGGUCUCUCGUAGACGAUGUCUAGGUCUUCGACGAAAGGAAAAUAAUAUAAAAUAUAGCCGCUGAGAUUCUUGGAGACCUGGACAUCGUCUACGAGACUCGCGGGUAACGUGUCCAUCAUCUUCGAGCAGAACUCACACCUACACACCGCAAACCACGAAGCGCAUUACUAAGCCUAACAUUUUUCCCAUAAUAAACACCUGGACAACAUUUUUGAGAGUUCCGGGUGACCUGAACAACACUCACAGUGAAAAUUCACGUAGACAUCAAGAGCUUAGCAUAUUCUAUAUAUUUAUUAUAGGUAUAUCACAAACCGAAAUUAUAAAUCACUAUAAUAGUAUUAAAAUUUCAUAACCUUAAA
rnacentral:lncRNA from 1 species